GGCCUCCCAGUGCUUACCACAGGCUGUGUUCUCUACGCUGACUGUAUAGAAAGAGGAGGCAUAGUAAUUCCACCCCAUAUACACCCCAGCCCAGGCCUUCUGCCUGGUCUGUAUUGUGAAUGGGGUAACAUGG